CCUACGGGUGGCAGCAGUGGGGAAUAUUGGGCAAUGGAGGCAACUCUGACCCAGCAACGCCGCGUGAAUGAUGAAGGUCUUCGGAUUGGAAAGUUCUGUGAUGGGGGAUGAACACAAUGACGGUACCCCAAUAGCAAGCCACGGCUAACUACGAGCCAGCAGCCGCGGUAAGACGGAGGUGGCAAGCGUUUUCCGGAAUGACUGGGCGUAAAGGGUGCCGAGGUGGUGUAGUAAGUUGGCGGUGUAAUUCCGGGGCUCCACCUCGGCCCUACCGCCAAAACUAUUAGACUAGAGUGCGGGAGGGGUAAGUGGAAUUCCUAGUGUAGCGGUGGAAUGCAUAGAUAUUAGGAAGAACAUCAGGUGCGAAGGCGACUUACUGGACUGUAACUGACACUGAGGCACGAAAGCGUGGGUAGCAAACAGGAUUAGAUACCCCAGUAGUC
rnacentral:rRNA from 1 species